AUACCACAAAAGGAAGGUUGGGAUUUAUUUUGGGGAUGAUGGUCCAAACCGUUUAGGAAUUAGGGGCCCAAAAGGGCCCAAAACAAGCAUUUUUCUAGUUUCAGGAUAAUAACUUGUUUACCAGUAUUUCAAUUGCUCUGAAAGUAUACUGCAAUGUUAAAAUCACAAGUAGAAGGUUUUGAUUCAUUUAAGGGGUUAUGGGGCCUAAGUUAGGAAUUAAGGGCCAAAAAGGGGCCAAAACAAGCAUUUUUCUAGUUUCCAGACAAUACCUCGUGUGUAAUUGCAUGGAUCGCUCUGAAAUUGUACCACAAUGUACCAUAUAACAAAGGGGAGGCUGGGAUUAAGUUUUGGGUUAAUUGCCCAAAAUAUGUAGGAAUUAAGGGCCAAAAAGAAGCAUAUUUCUAGUUUCCAAACAAUCAUGACAAUAACUUGUGUUUAAGUGUAUGGAUCUCUCUGAAAUCAUACUACAAGGUUCAAUAUUACAAAGGAAAGCAUGGUAUUUAGUUUAAGGGUUAUUGCUCCAAGGGGGGGGGUCAAUAAAUUGGGGGGG
rnacentral:lncRNA from 1 species